GACGAACGCUGGCGGCGUGCUUAACACAUGCAAGUCGAACGAUGAAGGAGAGCUUGCUCUCCGGAUUAGUGGCGAACGGGUGAGUAACACGUGACUAACCUGCCCCUUUCUCUGGGGUAACGCUCCGAAAGGAGUGCUAAUACCGGAUACGAACUCUGAACACAUGUUCGGAGUUGGAAAGUUUUUCGGAAAGGGAUGGAGUCGCGGCCUAUCAGCUUGUUGGUGAGGUAACGGCUCACCAAGGCGACGACGGGUAGCCGGCCUGAGAGGGCGACCGGCCACACUGGGACUGAGACACGGCCCAGACUCCUACGGGAGGCAGCAGUGGGGAAUAUUGCACAAUGGGCGAAAGCCUGAUGCAGCGACGCCGCGUGAGGGAUGAAGGUCUUCGGAUUGUAAACCUCUUUCAGUAGGGACGAAGCGAAAGUGACUGUACCUAAAGAAGAAGCACCGGCUAACUACGUGCCAGCAGCCGCAGUAA
rnacentral:rRNA from 1 species